rnacentral:rRNA from 1 species
UACGUAGGGUGCAAGCGUUAAUCGGAAUUACUGGGCGUAAAGCGUGCGCAGGCGGUGAUGUAAGACAGUUGUGAAAUCCCCGGGCUCAACCUGGGAACUGCAUCUGUGACUGCAUCGCUGGAGUGCGGCAGAGGGGGAUGGAAUUCCGCGUGUAGCAGUGAAAUGCGUAGAUAUGCGGAGGAACACCGAUGGCGAGGGCAAUCCCCUGGGCCUGCACUGACGCUCAUGCACGAAAGCGUGGGGAGCAAACAGG